CCAAAGCGCAGUCGGUAGAGCAGGAGGCUUUUAAUCUCGGGGCUGUGGGUUCGAGCCCCACAUGGG